rnacentral:rRNA from 1 species
UGAAGCCUACGGGGCGCAGCAGUGAGGAAUAUUGGUCAAUGGGAGAGAUCCUGAACCAGCCAAGCCGCGUGAGGGAAGACGGCCCUAUGGGUUGUAACCCUCUUUUGUCGGAGAACAAAACCCGGGACGUGUCCCGGACUGCGUGUAUCCGAAGAAAAAGCAUCGGCUAACUCCGUGCCAGCAGCCGCGGAAAUACGGAGGAUGCGAGCGUUAUCCGGUUUUAUUGGGUUUAAAGGGUGCGUAGGCGG